GCCUCGUACCCGGAGGACUCCUGCGGCAGCUGUUCCCUUCGGACGCCCGCCCGCUGCUGGGGCUCGACGUGGGCUGCAAUUCCGGGGAGGAGGCUGCAUCCUGAGCAAGCCCAGCGGAGGGACCCUCCAUGCAGAGGGGCUGCCUGGCCCCACACAUCCUGCCCCCCUCCUGGCGUUCCCAACCCUCUUCCUGCGUCAGAGCUCCCGGUGUUUGGUGCAUCCCUCCCACUGCUCCGGCGCAGAGAAGCCCACCUCACCUGCUUUCCUCUCCUUCCACCAGCUUCCUGUAAGUGAGGAUCUCCAAAUCCAGGGCCAGCUUGAUGUUCAUCAGCUCCUGAUACUCUUUCACCAGAUAUCCUCAGCAUUUAGUUUCCAAUGUCCGAAAAGCUUCUCAAAGGAGGAAGCUUUGGAAUGUGUAAAAUCAAGAAAACAGACUGCAUCAUGGCCUAUCUUAAAUCCCAAUCCCAGUCUGUCCCAGCCUGCCAAAGCAGCUUCAACGCAUUGCCAGGCGCUGACAUAAUCUCCCAUGUGGAGCAAACAACGCUCCUGACUGAAAGGGGAGCAGGCCAAGCCAGCCCGACGCGCUCACCGCACGGCUCCAGAAGGACCUGGCAGCCAGGAGGUGACUCACAUGGAGAUGGAGCCUUCUACAAACACAUCACAGCAUUUAUCUCCUUCAAGCUUAACCAGCAUCUUGCAAACUUUCCCCCCUCAUACAUGGAGCCACGUUGGACACCUACUUGCUUCGGAAGUUAUCCAUGGUGCUCAGGACCUCUGUCAACUCCGACUCGAGAUUUUCCUGCUCAUAGUUGAGUGCCUGCAUCUCUUGAUUCAUUUUGCUCAUGUACUGAUCGUAAAUGGCCUUCAUGUCUGAUUCGGAGUGGGAAUUGUCUUGAUCCUUCAGGAAGUUCCACCGUGUCGUCAGGAUCUUGUUCUGUUGCUCCAAGCGUUGGACCUGAUAAAGAGAUUGCAGAGACCUCAGUAAUUCUGACAGCUCAGCAAAAUGCCUCUGGUCUGGAGACCUCUGCAGCAAUGAAAUGUUGCUGAGCUUAGCUGAGAUCUCCGGGUAAGAGCAAAAAAUCCCCUGAAGAUCCAGAGCAGAGGAUGAAUACAGGGGCUACAAAGGUUUUAUGCAUUUCAUGCUGCUUAAUUUCUUAACAGAUCACAUUCAUGUGAAAAUGAAGAAGCAUCUCAUGUUAAGUCACUGAAAAAAUAAAAGCUGAUCUACACUGGUCCCCUUUGCCUCCAAAUAUAUUGAGAUAAAGGC